GAGGAAACUCCCUUUGAGACUCUUUGGGUUGCUUGUGCUUGCAUGACCUGAUGGAGCAAAGAUGGGAGCAUUUCCCAGGAGAGAGAUGUCUGGCCCUGUCUGCUCUGGCGCUGGUUGCUGCAAGAUAUGAGUGGCUUUCACUUCUCAGAUGAUAAAUGGCAGUGUCUGGUAAAAUACCAGCCUGCUAGGACCAGAAGGGUGGAAAGGCACUGCCCAGUUAAUCACAUGCCUGAUGUGUUACAACACAGCUUGAAGAUGAGAUGGGACACUGUCUUGGAGCUUGCGGUCUGUCUGGGCCCAGGAAAAUGGCAAGAAGGAGCCCUGAUUGUGGUGCCGGCACAACAGCAGAUGGCAGGGGAGCAAAUCGAGGCAAGCACCUCUGAUGCACAUGUGGACAGCUGAUACUGCCGUUUCCAAUUCUUAUCCUGAUUCACUACUGCUGAGAAUGAAGGAUGAAAGCUGGGUUACAAAGCAUUACUAACUGAGGAUUUGUGGCCAGCAAAUAUCACUAGAGGAUGAGUCUGGGGUUUGUCAAGCCCCAAAUGAACGACCCGCUACCACCAGAGUAAUGCAGAGGUCUGAACAUCCACAGAUGGUAACUAGGAGCAAUUGACGUAUGAAGUAUGGGCUGCAGCUCCAGAGCUGACUAAGAGGUUGUAUAAGAUAACCAUCGGCAGAGCUGGAAAUGGACAUGACUUUUGUACCUCGUGUCAAACUGCUUCUCUGCACCAUGUUGUCCCUGUGCCUGGCUGGCACCACCACCACUCCUUCUGCAGACCAGAGAACAUGGGAUGGCCUCUUCCAGCAGCUCCUCCUCUCCCAGCCCUUCUAGGCCCCUUCAGCAAGAGCUGGGUUCUGCCUCUGCCUGGUGGAGCCAUAGCCUUGCCAGCUCAGCUUUGGGAUGCAAGAGCGCUGUGCUGAAGGCAGGUGCCAGGCAGCAGCCAUCAUCCAUUGCCCUAAACCAGCAGUGCUUAGAGCUUUGCUGACAGAAGCUGAUACACACUACAGCUGUCUUUGCAGAGCGCUGUUGACAGGCUGUGUAAGAAGCAAUUAGGUUAUGAAUAAAGUAUAUGUUAAAAAAGAAGGCUCAAAGGUGAAAAGAAUUUCAGAGAAGACAAAGAGAAGUUAUUACAAUGAGGAAAAAGCAAACAGUUUCAGAAAAUCAAGGUCAGUAUUCCUGAAGGGCAUCUUAAAUUAAAUCAACAGCUGAAUUAUUUGGUAAGAAAUGUAGUUUUUUUAUUUAAAAACUAACAAAAAAGAAGACAACAAACAAAGAAACUCUUAAUCUCAUUAAUGCUGCAGGAUGUCCUAAACAAGCAUAAUUUUGCUUUGCAAAAAGGCAAGGGAGACCACACAGGAAGGUAUUGAAGAACUGGAAAAGGUACAAGAGCAUGAUGAAAAGAUCGAAAGCUGCUAUUUAUGGACAAAGCACAGACCGCUUUUUUUUUUUUUCUCAUUUCCCUUUCUUCCUUUCUUCCUCUCUUUCUCUCUCUCUUUUUUUUUUUUUUUAAGGAAGAAACUGAGGCCACAAUGAGGGCACAAUCCUAAAGGAUACCAAAAGCUGGAUGACAAAACUCGUUAACUUGUUCAGACCAUUUGCAAGCCAGCCAACACGACUGACUGGAAAUAAUACUGGGGAAUGUUCCUUGAAGAAAUCAGUUCUAACCCAGUAUUCUGUGUGGCAGAAUAAGGCAGUGCUGUCUGCAGUGUGUGGGUCUCCACCAUCAACACCCCAUCUUUCGUCUUGGCUCCAAGGGCUGAGCUGCUGCAACGUGGCUUCUGCAUUCCAGGAAUGUGGCUCCUGUCCUUGACCUCAUCUGUAGACAAAUAUGUCGUCUCCCUUACUGCUGAGUGGUUUAGGAAGAAUUUCAGCCAGAUUGAGGUGGGAUAGAGGAAUUACAGGUGAGGAUGUUUUUCCUCCUCCCUUGCAGAAACACUCUUGGCUUUACCUACAGAACCUCGGGCUGGGCAGGAGAACCUCUGGGAAGUGAAGCUGUUUGCAAAGGCUGUGACAUGAAGCCGCCACCCAGGGAAUGGGAUUUUGGGGCACUCCUUCUGGCCAGAGCACAGCAGGGUCUCACCACAUAGCAGCUGUGGGCUGAAGUCAAGCAGGAGAAACACUACACAGGUCAGCAGAUCAGGAGGUGAGUAUCAGGCUGGCCUGUUGACCUCUGUCCAUGCCAGAGUGUUAACAAGUCCAACAGAACACAUCCUGUCUUUUUGCUGGUAAGGCAAAAUCCAAAUUGUGAUAUUUUUAUCCUUAGUGCUACUUCCUCAAGAGCAACACAGAACAUGUUGCUUAAGUCUUAUACUUUCACUACAGGCUACGAUAGCAACAGGACUAGUUCUGCCAUGAGGGAGUCACCUUUUCUCAGGUGCCACUUUCAAAGUCAAGUUUUCAUUGCACAGAGAAAAUGGAGUAUUCCACCUUCACCUCCCCUAAAAAAAGUUUUAAGUUAGCAGAGGGAACCUUCAAAACAUUUUUCCUUCCAAUACAGAAUGGCCAUUGGUGUCAUCAGCUGGUGUGAAAAGACAGCUCAGUGGAGUUGUUCCAGCAAAAAAAAAAGAAACAAAGGAAGAAGAGAGGAUUAAAAAACUGGUUCCAUUGCUGCAUACAUUUUGUGUUGUGGUGAAAUAAAGCAAAGAGCCAUCAGGCUCCUACGCUUCAACAGAA